AUUGAACGCUGGCGGCAUGCCUUACACAUGCAAGUCGAACGGCAGCACGGGAGCAAUCCUGGUGGCGAGUGGCGAACGGGUGAGUAAAGCAUCGGAACGUGCCCAGUCGUGGGGGAUAACGUAGCGAAAGCUACGCUAAUACCGCAUACGAUCUGUGGAUGAAAGCGGGGGACCGUAAGGCCUCGCGCGAUUGGAGCGGCCGAUGUCAGAUUAGGUAGUUGGUGAGGUAAAGGCUCACCAAGCCGACGAUCUGUAGCUGGUCUGAGAGGACGACCAGCCACACUGGGACUGAGACACGGCCCAGACUCCUACGGGAGGCAGCAGUGGGGAAUUUUGGACAAUGGGCGCAAGCCUGAUCCAGCAAUGCCGCGUGCAGAAUGAAGGCCUUCGGGUUGUAAACUGCUUUUGUACGGAGCGAAACGGCUUCCACUAAUACUGGGGGCUAAUGACGGUACCGUAAGAAUAAGCACCGGCUAACUACGUGCCAGCCGCCGCCGUAAUAC
rnacentral:rRNA from 1 species